AGCAUCCACUGCAGAUGAGGUGGAAGAGCAGGAGUAGAAAGAGGUCUGGCGCUCUUAGAGGCUUCCAGAAACACCGGAAGGAGACCCAGAACCUGACUCCUGUGCCAGAAAGCCUCCCAAGGAUGCUCCAUGAUCAAGAUCUCCCCGCUGCUGUGCGCACAAGUCCACCUGUGACAGCAAUGCAGC